rnacentral:lncRNA from 1 species
CAGAGCAUACCUAUAAUAUAUUUGGAAUGAUGAUGCUACUAUACUAUCAAUAAUACUAAGCAUUGGAUGCUAUCGAAUUUUUAGCCGUUGGAUGAGGAACGUGCGGUUAGAAUUAUAGUGGUCUUCGGUUAGAAUAAUAGUGAUUCCCUAAAAUUGAGUGGAUGGUUUGUUGAAUAGUAUAUAGUCUAACAGAUAGAAAUAAAAAUAAUCAAUGAGUAGAUCUAAUGGCAAAAAAUUUGAUAGUACCAAGAGCUUAAUACUAUCGAUAGUAUAGUAGCCGAACUCAUAUAUUUGUUAUGAUUAAUAUCUUAAAAAUUAAAAUUUAUUUUAAUUAGGAAUUACUUCGUUCAAA